rnacentral:rRNA from 1 species
GACGAACGCUGGCGGCGUGCCUAAUACAUGCAAGUCGAGCGGGCCUCCGGAGGUGCUUGCACCUCCGGAAGGCCAGCGGCGGACGGGUGAGUAACACGUGGGCAACCUGCCUUUGAGGCCGGGAUAACACCGGGAAACCGGUGCUAAUACCGGAUGCAUCCCCUUUCGCGCCUGCGAGAGGGGAGAAAGACGGUCUUUAAGGCCGGCGCUCACAGAGGGGCCCGCGGCGCAUUAGCUGGUUGGUGGGGUAAGGGCCUACCAGGGCGACGAUGCGUUGCCGACCUGAGAGGGUGAUCGGCCACACUGGGACUGAGACACGGCCCAGACUCCUGCGGGAGGCAGCAGUAGGGAAUCAUCCGCAAUGGGCGAAAGCCUGACGGUGCAACGCCGCGUGAGUGAGGAAGGUUUUCGGAUCGUAAAGCUCUGUUGUGAGGGAAGAACAGCUUCCGGAGGAAAUGCCGGAGGUUUGCCGGUACCUCACCAGAAAGCCCCGGCUAACUACGUGCCAGCCGCCGCAGUAAGAC